rnacentral:rRNA from 1 species
AGAUUGAACGCUGGCGGCAUGCCUUACACAUGCAAGUCGAACGGCAGCACGGGUGCUUGCACCUGGUGGCGAGUGGCGAACGGGUGAGUAAUAUAUCGGAACGUACCCUAGAGUGGGGGAUAACGCAGCGAAAGUUGCGCUAAUACCGCAUACGAUCUACGGAUGAAAGUGGGGGAUCGCAAGACCUCAUGCUCAUGGAGCGGCCGAUAUCUGAUUAGCUAGUUGGUGGGGUAAAAGCCUACCAAGGCAUCGAUCAGUAGCUGGUCUGAGAGGACGACCAGCCACACUGGAACUGAGACACGGUCCAGACUCCGUACGGGAGGCAGCAGUGGGGGAAAUUUUGGGACAAGUGGGACGCAAAGCCCUGAACUCCGAGACAAUGCCGCGUGAAGUGAAAGAAGGUCCUUACGGGUUAGUAAAGCGUUCUUUUGUCGUAAGGGAAACGGAAAACGGUACGGUAA